CGCAUGGCCGUGUCCUGCUUUGGAGUUGCAACGUGCUGCUCUUCAGCAUGGCACCAGCAUGGGAUCGGCUCUGCUAACUCCCGAGGAGGCAGAUCAGAAUGUGCUGAUGAAGAAGAUCCCAAAAUCUACAGGCAGGAAGAUGAAAAGGCAGCAAUGUCACAGAAACCAUAGAAUCCAUUAUGUUACAUAGGUUUUACAUCAGCAUCUGUUGUCACUACCAGGACCAGCACUGGUGCUCCACACUUCUCAGAGUUGCCCUUUUGAUUUUAGAAAGCUCAACUGUUUAUCUGUUGAAGGAACUAACAUAUGGAAGGCACAUCUCAGACACAGAGCUGUAUUUUGAUAGAAUCGCAUUGGAUAAUGUGGAAGAAGAUGCCAUGGGACAGGUGAUCCUAGAGAAGCAAAACUGCUGGAUUACAGUUAAUGGCUUAAUAACUUUUGUGUAUGCGAGAAGAUCCUGAUAUUUUCUUCUAGUCUAUGGAUAUAUCUCUUGUUUGCUUAUUUUGUACUAACAAAAACAUGAAAAUUUCAAUUUGUGGUCCUACAGAUCUUCAACUAAGAAUCAACAAAUGGAUUAAAAUUCAUCCACAUCUGUUGUUUCCAGAA